CAUUGAAAUAUCGGUUCUCAAACGAUCACCAAAGUUAAGCAAUGUCAAGCUUGGCCUGUACCAAGAUAGGUGACUGCUUGGGAAUACCAAGUGCUGUAAG